AAAAGGGAGAAGGUUUGGAUCCAUUAAAACGUUUAAUCCUGCUGCAAAUGUUUGCACCUGUCCUAAGUCAGGAAUCUGAUGUACAGUAGUUGUCGUUUGUUUAUGUAAUAUAUACGUGUUUCUCGUUUCUCUUUUUGUUUAUAUAGAUUAGACCGUUGGUUUUCCCGUUUGAAUGGUUUUACACUAGUAAUUUUGGGGCCCC
rnacentral:lncRNA from 1 species